UACAGAGGUGGCAAGCGUUGUUCGGAAUUACUGGGCGUAAAGGGCGCGUAGGCGGCCAUCUAAGUCAGACGUGAAAUCCCCCGGCUUAACCUGGGAACUGCCGUGGAUACUAUCAAUCUUGAAUAUCGUGGAGGUAAGCGGAAUAUGUCAUGUAGCGGUGAAAUGCUUAGAUAUGACAUAGAACACCAAUUGCGUAGGCAGCUUACUACACGAUCAUUGACGCUGAGGCACGAAAGCGUGGGGAGCAAACAGA
rnacentral:rRNA from 1 species